UACGAGGGGAGCAAGCGUUGUUCGGAUUUACUGGGCGUAAAGGGCGCGUAGGCGGUCAGCACAAGUCAGUUGUGAAAUCUCCGGGCUUAACUCGGAAAGGUCAACUGAUACUGUGCGACUAGAGUGCGGAAGGGGCAACUGGAAUUCUCGGUGUAGCGGUGAAAUGCGUAGAUAUCGAGAGGAACACCUGCGGCGAAGGCGGGUUGCUGGGCCGACACUGACGCUGAUGCGCGAAAGCCAGGGGAGCGAACGGG
rnacentral:rRNA from 1 species